CCUUCAGCCCCCAACUGGCACUCUGUUUUCCAGCGUGCACUCUCACGGAUCAAUAACCUGUUACAUAACUUUCUGGUUUGGACCGGAGGGCAGAUUCCAGCUGACUGGAACAUGUGACAGGGCUUUGACUGUGUUGACCCACAUUUCCCCUUCCCUUUCGAAGAUCCCUCCCCUCCAUCUCGUCUUCCCACUACGUCCCUCCUUCAGCCCAAGCCCCUUCCUAACCCUUCACACCCGUCAGGGGAGCAGUCAUGGAGGCAGCCGUAGCCACGCUUGGUUUGGUCCGGCCUUACUGCAACAUGCCCGGACUUGCACCUCAUGACACAAGCGAAGAAUAGCUGCUGGCUGAGCAGCAGCUUUUGUCAAGUGACAUAACAAGGGAGUGAUUCAAGUUCAAGUCACAGUUCUCAAGUUACCAUCAUGACAAUACUGCGACUGCAUGGGUGACAAAAGCGUUUUCAUACACCACACACGCUUGUUGGGUUUUCCGGAGAGGAGGCCGAUCACAUGGAUACACAAGAGAUGCAGCAGGAGAGACACAGAAAGAAGGAAAGGCCGAGUCUUCUGGAGCGGGAAGUCACUGUAUGGUUCGUACUACACAGCACUGUUGUCCUGAAGAUGAGGGGAAACAUGAGCCCUGCUGCGCCCCCCCGGUAGCCCACCUGCUGCUCUCUGGCCCUCGUCGACUGCUGCUCUGUAAUACAGCACACUGCCUCGCACAAGGCUCCAUGGGCUGCACAGGGACAGAGAAAGAGCAAAGACUAUAGAUUGCUGUACAGGCUGUAUAUCACAGAUAUUUCAAAUGUGCCACUUUGGUUUAUUUCAAGCAAAAUAAGCCAGGUUUCUAUCCUACGCUCUCGUCUCGAGGGAUGCUUUGUUGUUUUACUUGGCGUGCUAUUUGGAUUGCGACCAGGCAGACCAGGCUAACUGUCAUGUUACAUUUGCUCUUCACGUGUUAGCCGACUCCAAUUUAGCCCGAAGGAUAGGUGGUUACCCGCCAGCAACCUCUUUGCGCAGAGUAAAGGACAUGCGUGCACAUGCAACAUGUGCAGACUAGGAUGCACACCCUCCCACAGCCUUAUUUCCCUCGCUCCUGUCUCCUUCUCUCACUUUCAGCAACCACCAGAAAGAAACUAGCACUUAUUAGCUGGUGGAUACGCUCAACUAGAUCGCUCCUUUGCCAGCAGGGAAUAGACACACCCCGCACGUAAUGUGACAGUUAAGGAAUUUUAAAAAUGGCAAUUUUGCUGCAGGCUAGCCACACAUAUUUGCAGCCUGAGUCCAAGACACUACAUCACUUGCUGUGGAAAUGUUGGAGAGACUAUGAGAUUUAAAACUCAAAUUGAGUUGAAUGAAUCUGUUAAUCGGCUCAGAUUUCAACUAAAAUGUAAUCUACUGAAUUUACUAAAGCUGACUUUUACCAACCUGCUCCUUUUUCAAGUGUGCCACACACAGAAAUUACAUUUUUAAUCUACAUUGUAUUUAUUAUUCUUUGAAUGUAAUCUAACAAUGCAAAUGUUGUGCAAUUCUUGGAUUAGCCCCUGUAAUGUCACAGAAUAGGUUACUCUUUGCAGCAUUGUUGUAGGGUUUGAUAGAUGGAAACUUGAUUAUGCCGCUGUUUAUUAGACCUUAUUCCUCCCACAAUAGCCCAAUUCCCUGUAACACUUUGUUUUUCUUUUAGCUUUUAAGAUUUUUAUUGACCUCAUUUUGGUUUGGCAUUAUCAGAUUACAAAAAAAUGUCCCACGUCUUUGUCCGUCAUCAAGCACUAAACCAUCCCUUAAACUCAAAGCAUACAAAAAUGAGAUAUCUCUUAAAUAGUCUUAUAGUAGUCUGUUUCUUUUAGAUGACAUUUGGUGACGUUCCCUAAUGUUCAGAGAUGAUUAAACAUGUUUAUAUUUUAGGGUUCAGGUGAGCACCCACACAGAGGCUCAGACUUCAUUCACAUGAUGUGUUAUCAUGCAAAUGAGCACCAACUCCCUCUGUUCUGUUGUGCUGUUCCUGAUAACACAUUUCCUUAGC